CAAACAUUCUCUUGCCUGCUGCCACAUAAGAUGUCUCUUUGCUCUUCCUUCAUCUUCCACCAUGAUUGUGAAGCCUCCCCAGCCGUGUGGAACUGUGACUCCAUUGAACUUCUUUCCUUUAUAAUUACCCAGUCUCAGACUCUUCCUUCUGCAGCAAGUAGAAGGCAUGACUGAAGCAACUCAAGUCUACAUCAUCCCAGCUUCGCAAUCUCCCAAGAGAACAAGAGCCCCAGUUGGCCAACAUCUGAACAUAAAUUCUCAUCAGUCCACCUUCAUAAGCAGACGGGGAGGGUCUCCAGGGAUAACAGGAAUUUAACCAACUUCAGCAAUGAGCCUGGUUUACAGCCUCCUGCCCUGCAGCCUGUUCUUCCACAAACCCUGGGUAAAAUGCAGUCACCUUGUUGGUUUAAACCAGCUCUUGACAGACCCCCGGCAACAUACAGAUGAACGCAAGUGAACUUUCUCAUGACCACGCUAAAGUCUCCACCCUGGGCAACCUGUAGCUUCAUUACCAUGACAUGCAACCUAUGCGCUGACGUAAUGACUCACUGCAUCUGUGCAACUAGACCUCUCCUCGUCAUGCAAUGAUGCUCCCUGUCUCCUCUCCAUUGCGCCAUAAAACCCUCCUGUCACUUUCCCUCGGAAAGACACUGCUUUGGAGAAUACCCCCAGUGUCACCCUUACUUGAGUUAAAUAAAACUCCUAUUGAUCAAAGACA
rnacentral:lncRNA from 1 species